UCAAAGGCUCUUUUCAGAGCCACACACCUUUUCACAAAAAAGCUUG
rfam:Anolis carolinensis unplaced genomic scaffold chrTn0060, whole genome shotgun sequence.